UACGGGGGGAGCAAGCGUUGUUCGGAUUUACUGGGCGUAAAGAGCGUGUAGGCGGCCAGGUAGGUCCGUUGUGAAAACUCGAGGCUUAACCUCGAGACGUCGAUGGAAACCAUCUGGCUAGAGUCCGGAAGAGGAGAGUGGAAUUCCUGGUGUAGCGGUGAAAUGCGCAGAUAUCAGGAAGAACACCCGUGGCGAAGGCGGCUCUCUGGGACGUGACUGACGCUGAGACGCGAAAGCGUGGGGAGCAAACAGG
rnacentral:rRNA from 1 species